rnacentral:rRNA from 1 species
CCCCUAGUAACGGCGAGUGAAGCGGGAAGAGCUCAAAUUUGAAAUCUGGCGGUCUACGGCCGUCCGAGUUGUAAUCUAGAGAGGUGUUUUCCGUGCCGGACCGUGUACAAGUCCCUUGGAACAGGGCGUCAUAGAGGGUGAGAAUCCCGUCCAUGACACGGACUCCCGGUGCUCUGUGAUACACCUUCGAAGAGUCGAGUUGUUUGGGAAUGCAGCUCAAAAUGGGUGGUAAAUUCCAUCUAAAGCUAAAUACAGGCGAGAGACCGAUAGCGAACAAGUACCGUGAGGGAAAGAUGAAAAGAACUUUGGAAAGAGAGUUAAACAGUACGUGAAAUUGUUGAAAGGGAAACGCUUGAAGUCAGUCGCGUCCGUCGGGAUUCAGCCUUGCUUUUGCUUGGUGCACUUCCCGUCGGAUGGGCCAGCAUCGAUUUUGGUCGCCGGAGAAGGGCGGGAGGAAUGUGGCAGCUUGCUGUGUUAUAGCCUCCCGUCGUACACGGCGGUCGGGAUCGAGGACUGCAGCACGCCUUUGGUCGGGGUUCGCCCACGCCACGUGCUUAGGAUGCUGGCGUAAUGGCUUUAAACGACCCGUCUUGAAACACGGACCAAGGAGUCUAACAUGCCUGCGAGUGUUUGGGUGUUAAACCCAUGCGCGUAAUGAAAGUGAAAAGUUGGGACUCUUUAGUGAGGCACCGACGCCCGAUCCUGACGUUCUCUGACGGAUUUGAGGCAGAGCAUGUAUGUUGGGACCCGAAAGAUGGUGAACUAUGCCUGAAUAGGGUGAAGCCAGAGGAAACUCUGGUGGAGGCUCGUAGCGAUUCUGACGUGCAAAUCGAUCGUCAAAUUUGGG